UACGGAGGGUGCAAGCGUUAUCCGGAUUCACUGGGUUUAAAGGGUGCGUAGGUGGGCAGGUAAGUCAGUGGUGAAAUCUCCGGGCUUAACCCGGAAACUGACCAUUGAUACUAUCUGUCUUGAAUACCGUGGAGGUGAGCGGAAUAUGUCAUGUAGCGGUGAAAUGCUUAGGAUAUGACAUAGAACACCGAUUGCGAAGGCAGCUCGCUAAACUUAUAUUGACGCUGAGGCACGAAAGCGUGGGGAUC
rnacentral:rRNA from 1 species